rnacentral:rRNA from 1 species
GACGAACGCUGGCGGCGUGCUUAACACAUGCAAGUCGAACGGUGAAGCGCCUUCCUUUUUGGUGGGUGUGGAUGAGUGGCGAACGGGUGAGUAACACGUGAGUAACCUGCCCCCUUCUUCUGGAUAACCGCAUGAAAGUGUGGCUAAUACGGGAUAUUCUGGGUCUGUCGCAUGAUGGGUCUGGGAAAGAUAUUGUUUCGGUGGGGGAUGGGCUCGCGGCCUAUCAGCUUGUUGGUGGGGUGAUGGCCUACCAAGGCGGUGACGGGUAGCCGGCCUGAGAGGGUGGACGGUCACACUGGGACUGGGACACGGCCCAGACUCCUACGGGAGGCAGCAGUGGGGAAUAUUGCACAAUGGGCGCAAGCCUGAUGCAGCGACGCCGCGUGAGGGAUGGAGGCCUUCGGGUUGUGAACCUCUUUCGCCAGUGAAGCAGGCCUGCCUCGUUUGUGGGUGGGUUGACGGUAGCUGGAUAAGAAGCGCCGGCUAACUACGU